CCUACGGGAGGCAGCAGUGGGGAAUAUUGCACAAUGGGGGAAACCCUGAUGCAGCGACGCCGCGUGAGCGAAGAAGUAUUUCGGUAUGUAAAGCUCUAUCAGCAGGGAAGAAAAUGACGGUACCUGACUAAGAAGCCCCGGCUAACUACGUGCCAGCAGCCGCGGUAAUACGUAGGGGGCAAGCGUUAUCCGGAUUUACUGGGUGUAAAGGGAGCGUAGACGGUAGCACAAGCCUGAGGUGAAAGCCCGGGGCUUAACCCCGGAACUGCAUUGGGAACUGUACGGCUGGAGUGCCGGAGAGGUAGGCGGAAUUCCUAGUGUAGCGGUGAAAUGCGUAGAUAUUAGGAGGAACACCAGUGGCGAAGGCGGCUUGCUGGACUAUGACUGACGUUGAGGCUCGAAAGCGUGGGGAGCAAACAGGAUUAGAUACCCGUGUAGUC
rnacentral:rRNA from 1 species